AGUCCCUUUUAGAUACCACAAUAUAUGUUUGAUUCCAUUGCAAUGUCUCCUUGUAGGAGCAGAGCUAUAUCUUGCUAAGGCAUUAACUGAAAAAGUUAUGUCAGGCCUUGUAGUAUUUGCAAGAUACAUUAGUGCGCCUAUUGCACUAAGAUAUGGUACUUGAUGAAGACUGAUCAUGNNNNNNNNNNNUUGCAAGAUAUAUUAGUGCGCCAAUUGCACUAAGAUAUGGUACUUCAGGACCAAGUAGCUCUUCAUUCUUUUCUUGAGGUCGGAAUGGAUCAUUAUUCACAUCAAGUGAUCGAACAACCAUCAUAGUACUUAAAGGAUAUGCUCCAUCCAUUUAAAACUGUUUCAAUACCUUUUCUAUAUAGGCAUAUUGAUGAACAAAAAUUAUGUUUGCC
rnacentral:lncRNA from 1 species